AUACCGGCCAGAGACCGAUAGCGAACAAGUAGAGUGAUCGAAAGAUGAAAAGCACUUUGAAAAGAGGGUUAAACAGCACGUGAAAUUGUUAAAAGGGAAGCGCUUGUGACCAGACUUGCGUCCGGUGAAUCACCCAGCUCUCGCGGCUGGGGCACUUCGCCGGCUCAGGCCAGCAUCAGCUCGCUGUCGGGGACAAAAGCUUCAGGAACGUAGCUCUCUUCGGGGAGUGUUAUAGCCUGUUGCAUAAUACCCUUCGGCGGGCUGAGGUACGCGCUCCGCAAGGAUGCUCAUAAGGUCAUCAGCGACCCGUCUUGAAACACGGACC
rnacentral:rRNA from 1 species